rnacentral:rRNA from 1 species
UACGUAGGGGGCAAGCGUUGUCCGGAUUUAUUGGGCGUAAAGAGCGUGUAGGCGGCUUUACAGGUCCGUUGUGAAAACUCGAGGCUCAACCUCGAGACGCCGGUGGAAACUGUCUGGCUAGAGUCCGGAAGAGGAGAAUGGAAUUCCUGGUGUAGCGGUGAAAUGACGCAGAUAUCAGGAAGAACACCCGUGGCGAAGGCGGUUCUCUGGGACGGUACUGACGCUGGAGACGCGAAAGCGUGGGGAGCGAACAGG